rnacentral:lncRNA from 1 species
GGUUAUCUGACCAGAACAGAGAAGAACCUGUAAGAAACAUGCAGCAGCCCAGCAGGUGAGAGGAGCUGUUAGACUGGCCAUUGGAAGCGUGGGAUCAGUCUUCGGUCAGACUCUUCUGCCAUGUAGCUGCCCACGGUGCACGGUGCAGCCUUUGGUGACACAGACGACUUCAAACAUGUCUGAUCACUGAGCUAACUGUCGAAGUGUGAUAUUUAAAGUAACUUCUUAUGAUUGCUAACAGAUUGCAUGGCGACAUGGGUCAUGCACAGUGUGACCAAAUUUAUCUUGAGCUCGUAAAGAAAAGAAAGAUCUGAUGAAAACCGUAUACCUGGUUUUAUUUACAUUAAUGAAGCUAUGUGACAUAAAGGCCACAAUGAUUUCUCUCCUUUUCUUUUGUGGAAAAAUUCUUUUUUGUUUUUUUGAGGAAGAUCAGCACUGAGCUAACUGCUGCCAAUCCUCCCCUCCCCGCCAAGGAAGACCAGCCCCGAGCCAACAUCCAUGCCCAUCUUCCUCCACUUUACAUGCGGGACACCUACCACAGCAUGGCGUGCCAAGUGGUGCCAUGUCCGCACCCGGGGUCUGAACCAGCGAACCCCAGGCCGCCAGGGCGGAACGUGCGCGCUUAACCCCUGCGUCACCAGGCCGG